AGGACGAACGCUGGCGGCGUGCCUAACACAUGCAAGUCGAACGGAGGUUUGCUCGGUAGAACCUAGUGGCGAACGGGUGAGUAACGCGUAGGCAACCUGCCCCCCGGAUGGGACAACACCCCGAAAGGGGUGCUAAUACCGGAUACGAAGAUAGCACCGCAUGGUGAUAUUUUGAAAGAUGGCCUCUACAGGUAAGCUAUCGCCGGGGGAUGGGCCUGCGUCCGAUUAGCUGGUUGGUGGGGUAACGGCCCACCAAGGCGACGAUCGGUAGCCGGUCUGAGAGGAUGAACGGCCACAUUAGGACUGAGACACGGCCCAGACUCCUACGGGAGGCAGCAGUGGGGAAUCUUCCGCAAUGGGCGCAAGCCUGACGGAGCAACGCCGCGUGAGUGAGGAAGUUUUUCGGAACGUUAAAAAGCUCUGUUGUACAUGACGAACGUGCGAUCUGUCAACAACGGAUGGCAGUGACGGUAGUGUACGAGGAAGCCACGGCUAACUACGUGCCAGCAGCAGC
rnacentral:rRNA from 1 species